rnacentral:rRNA from 1 species
UACGUAGGGUCCGAGCGUUGUUCGGAUUUACUGGGCGUAAAGCGCACGUAGGCGGAUCGAUCAGUCAGGGGUGAAAUCCCAGAGCUCAACUCUGGAACUGCCUUUGAUACUGUCGAUCUGGAGUAUGGAAGAGGUGAGUGGAAUUCCGAGUGUAGAGGUGAAAUUCGUAGAUAUUCGGAGGAACACCAGUGGCGAAGGCGGCUCACUGGUCCAUUACUGACGCUGAGGUGCGAAAGCGUGGGGAGCAAACAGG